UACAGAGGGGGCAAGCGUUGUUCGGAAUUACUGGGCGUAAAGGGCGCGUAGGCGGCUUGAUGUGUCAAAGGUGAAAUCCCUCGGCUCAACUGAGGAACUGCCUUUGAAACUGUCUGGCUUGAGGCCGGGAGAGGGUAGCGGAAUUCCCAGUGUAGCGGUGAAAUGCGUAGAUACUGGGAGGAACACCGGUGGCGAAGGCGGCUACCUGGACCGGUUCUGACGCUGAUGCGCGAAAGCGUGGGUAGCAAACAGG
rnacentral:rRNA from 1 species